rnacentral:rRNA from 1 species
CCUACGGGCGGCAGCAGUGGGGAAUAUUGCACAAUGGGGGAAACCCUGAUGCAGCGACGCCGCGUGAGUAAAGAAGUAUUUCGGUAUGUAAAGCUCUAUCAGCAGGGAAGAAGCAAGACGGUACCUGACUAAGAAGCCCCGGCUAACUACGUGCCAGCAGCCGCGGUAAUACGUAGGGGGCAAGCGUUAUCCGGAUUUACUGGGUGUAAAGGGAGCGUAGACGGUAUGGCAAGUCUGAAGUGAAAGCCCAGGGCUUAACCCUGGGACUGCUUUGGAAACUGUUAGACUAGAGUGCUGGAGAGGUAAGUGGAAUUCCUAGUGUAGCGGUGAAAUGCGUAGAUAUUAGGAGGAACACCAGUGGCGAAGGCGGCUUGCUGGACGAUGACUGACGUUGAGGCUCGAAAGCGUGGGGAGCAAACAGGAUUAGAUACCCUUGUAGUC